rnacentral:ribozyme from 1 species
GGGGGCUUCGGCCCCCGGCCCUAAUGCAGCUCCCCGUGGGGGAACGGUCACAAGCCCGUGGAAAUGCAGAGUGAGGC